rnacentral:rRNA from 1 species
GACGAACGCUGGCGGCGUGCCUAAUACAUGCAAGUAGGACGCAGUUGCGAACGGGUGAGUAACGCGUAGGUAACUGCCUAUUAGAGGGGGAUAACUAUUGGAAACGAUAGCUAAUACCGCAUACUAGUAGAUGGACCUGCGUUGUAUUAGCUAGUAGGUAGGGUAAUGGGCUACCUAGGCGACGAUACAUAGCCGACCUGGAGGGGGGAAUGGGCACAAUGGGACUGGAGCAAGGCCCAAGAUCCUACGGGAGGCAGCAGGAGGGAAACGUCGGCAAUGGGGGGAACCCUGGCCGAGCAACGCCGGGUGAGUGAAGAAGGUUUUCGGAUUGUAAAGCUCUGUUGUUAAGGAAGCGGUACUUAACCAGAAAGGGACGGCUAACUACGUGCCAGCAGCCGCGGUAAUAC